GCCUGACUGGCUCAGUCAGUAGAGCAUGCGAGUCUUGAUCUCAAGGUUGUAAGUUCGAGCCCCAUGUUAGGUA
rnacentral:tRNA from 1 species